AGAAUUUGUUUUUAAGAUUGCUGAGAUGGCAUGUUUCCACUUUAUCCUUUGCAGUUAUCAAAGUAAAAAACGUUUACAAAGGCUUUAAGUCGCUGUGAAGUCGGCUGACGGAAGCAGGGUGUCCAUGGUAUGUGCGUACAUACUGAAGAUACUGCAUCUGUAGUGCGCCAAAAUCUUUACAUGCAUUACAGACAUUGUUGCAAUACCUUUACUCCAUGUCGACCAGGCAUUAAAACAUUGCCAUAAAAUGACAUGGAGUUUACAUGAAUUCUUUAAUGCAUUGUAAGAAAUUGACGUAUCCAUGUAAUAUAUGUAGUUAACAAAUUAACAGGGAAAAAAUAAGAGACAAUAUCCAAUGUUCUCAAACAUUGUUUUAUUCCAACUGAAGAGGCUAGCCACAGUCUAAAAUUGUGCAGGAUAUGAAUUGGGUUGUAAUAUUUGAUAUAUGAUUGAAUAGUUUCCCAUUGUGAAUGUGGCAGGGAUGCUCAGAUUUGAUUCUAAAAUCCUGCUGAAACUGUAUUUCAAGCUAUAGUUGUUUGCAUCACUGAUCUAAGUGGGAGUCCCAGAGAGUUUUGGAGGUUGAGUCAUUGAAUAUAUUCAAGGCUAAGAUAGAUUCUUGAACUAUAUAGGGAGGUCAAGGGUUUUGGGGAAGGGGCAGGAAAGAGGAAUUGAGGCCAAGAUCAGAUCAGUCAUGUCCUAUUGAAUGACGGAGCAGGCUCGAGGACCCUUGGCUUACUCCUGCUCCUAUUUCUUUUGAAUGUCCCUGUUAUAUUGCUUCGUUAUGAAUUCCACUCUUACCAUCAAGAAUUCUGAAAAUGUGAGCCCACGUUUCAUAAGUACAGAUAGGAGCAGCUGCGUUUUUAGAACAUUUAGCUCUGUUUAAGUUUAUAAAGUGUCCAUGAGCCCUUCAGAUUCCCUGAACGUUUCUAGCAUUUUGCCUAAUCUGAAGUUAGUUAUGCGCCAAUUGCAAGCCAAAGGAUGUAAAAUAGUCUUCCUGCAGGUUGUGUUUCAUUUAGUCAAAAAGGUUGCAAUACGGAUGCUUUUGUGUUACUGAAAAGCAGAAAACAGCAAAACAAAAUUGACAGGAUAGCUGCACAAUUGUGUACUUACAUUCUUUAAAUAAAUUUCAUUGUUGUAGUCUUGUCAAAUGAGGGGAAACCUUGAACAUAACUUUCAGCUUUCUUCAGUUCAGCUGAUCUUUUGUAAGUCAGAUUGUAAUGCUCAUCUACUGUCGCUAAAUGUGCAUUUUCCAUGCCAAGCGAUAUCUAUCUAAUAAUAUCCUUUAUUGAACCACUGAAUGAGCUGAUUGUUAGUCCCAGUUCAGUACUUGCUCAGUAUUGUUUAAAGCAAGUACGCAGUAUGAGGGAUCCUGUGAGGGUACACUUUGAGUAGAUUAGACCCAAAUCCCCCGGAGUUCAGAAAAAUGAGAGGCGAUCUAAUUGAAACCCAUUUAAAUAUUUAAGUGACUUGACAGGGCAGACGCUAAGAAAAUAUUGCCCUUGACUGGGCAAUCUGGAACAUGAACUUAUUAAAGUCAGAGGCUGAUAGAUCUUUGGGAAUUAAGGGAUGUGGGGAUAGUGCAGGAAGAUGGAGUUGAGAUAGAAGAUCAGCCAUGAAUAGCGGAAAAGGUUUGAAAAAUUAAGUGGCUACUCCAGCUCCUAUUUCUUAUGUUCUGAUGUAUGGAGUUGCAGUUCUAAAAAUAAUUGGUAGAGGGGUUGGGUGGGGAAGGGAACUAACUGUCUUUGUAACAGGUACCAAAAAAUGAUAAUCACUUAUCCAGAUUAAAUUUUGCUGGUGUCCCUUCUGGGAAUUAUUAACUCAUCAUCUAUUCUACAGCAGAGGGGACAAAGGUUCUCCACUAGACUGUAGAACAGAAUAGAGAAGAGUUACUCUGUAAGGGGACUAACUAAAGUAGGGCAAUUCAUUAUAAUAACCUGUUCACUAUUUUGAUAUAAUUGCAUGGAUAAGUUUUACUGAUUGAACUAAGUAGAUCUGAUCAUAAUAACUGUUGCUCUGUAUACUCGCCUUGCUGUGGAAUAAAACUGCUUAAUGAUUUUAA